rnacentral:rRNA from 1 species
GACGAACGCUGGCGGCGUGCUUAACACAUGCAAGUCGUACGGUAAGGCCCUUUCGGGGGUCCACGAGUGGCGCACGGGUGAGUAACACGUGAGUAACCUGCCCACAACUUUGGGAUAACGCUAGGAAACUGGUGCUAAUACUGGAUAUGUGCUCCUGCUGCAUGGUGGGGGUUGGAAAGCUCCGGCGGUUGUGGAUGGACUCGCGGCCUAUCAGCUUGUUGGUGGGGUAGUGGCCUACCAAGGCGGCGACGGGUAGCCGGCCUGAGAGGGUGACCGGCCACAUUGGGACUGAGAUACGGCCCAGACGCCUACGGGAGGCAGCAGUGGGGAAUAUUGCACAAUGGGCGCAAGCCGGAUGCAGCAACGCCGCGUGCGGGAUGACGGCCUUCGGGUUGUAAACCGCUUUCAGCAGGGACGAAGCUUUUUGUGACGGUACCUGCAGAAGAAGCACCGGCUAACUACGUG